rnacentral:tRNA from 1 species
GCUACGGACUUAAAAUCCGUCGACUUUAUAAGUCGUGAGGGUUCAAUCCUCUAUCCCCA